rnacentral:rRNA from 1 species
UGCGUAGGCGGGCUAAUAAGUCAGUGGUGAAAUCUUUCGGCUCAACCGAGAAACUGCCAUUGAUACUGUUAGUCUUGAGUGCGGUUGAGGUAGGCGGAAUGUGUAAUGUAGCGGUGAAAUGCUUAGAUAUUACACAGAACACCAAUUGCGUAGGCAGCUUACUAGACCGACACUGACGCUGAGGCACGAAAGCGUGGGGAGCGAACAGGAUUAGAUACCCUGGUAGUCC